rfam:Fulvivirga imtechensis AK7 contig3, whole genome shotgun sequence.
AAUGCGAUAACCCGAAAAGCAUAAACAGAGUAGGGA